rnacentral:rRNA from 1 species
UUCGCCCUUAGAGUUUGAUCCUGGCUCAGGAUGAACGCUGGCGGCGUGCCUAACACAUGCAAGUCGAACGGAGCUGAUUUCUCUGAGAUUCGUCAAAGAGGAUGAAAGCUUAGUGGCGGACGGGUGAGUAACGCGUGGGUAACCUGCCUCAUAGAGGGGGAUAACAGUUGGAAACGAUUGCUAAUACCGCAUAAGCCCACGGUGUCGCAUGACACUGAGGGAAAAGAUUCAUCGCUAUGAGAUGGACCCGCGUUUGAUUAGUUAGUUGGCGGUGUAACGGACCACCAAGACGACGAUCAAUAGCCGGACUGAGAGGUUGAACGGCCACAUUGGGACUGAGACACGGCCCAAACUCCUACGGGAGGCAGCAGUGGGGAAUAUUGCGCAAUGGAGGAAACUCUGACGCAGUGACGCCGCGUAUAGGAAGAAGGUUUUAGGAUUGUAAACUAUUUUAGACAGGGAAGAAGAAAGACAGUACCUGUAGAAUAAGCUCCGGCUAACUACGUGCCAGCAGCCGCGGUAAUACGUAGGGAGCAAGCGUUAUCCGGAAUUAUUGGGUGUAAAGGGUGCGUAGACGGGAAUUUAAGUUGGUUGUGAAAUCCCUUGGCUUAACUGGGGAACUGCAACCAAAACUGGAUUUCUUGAGUGCAGGAGAGGAAAGCGGAAUUCCUAGUGUUGCGGUGAAAUGCGUAGAUAUUAGGAGGAACACCAGUGGCGAAGGCGGCUUUCUGGACUGCAACUGACGCUGAGGCUCGAAAGUGUGGGGAGCAAACAGGAUUAGAUACCCUGGUAGUCCACACUGUAAACGAUGAUUGCUAGGUGUGGGGGGUCUGACCCCCUCCGUGCCGGAGUUAACGCAAUAAGUAUUCCACCUGGGGAGUACGAUCGCAAGGUUGAAACUCAAAGGAAUUGACGGGGGCCCGCACAAGCGGUGGAUUAUGUGGUUUAAUUCGAAGCAACGCGAAGAACCUUACCAGGGCUUGACAUCCUACUAACGAAGUAGAGAUACAUCAGGUGCCCUUCGGGGAAAGUAGAGACAGGUGGUGCAUGGUUGUCGUCAGCUCGUGUCGUGAGAUGUUGGGUUAAGUCCCGCAACGAGCGCAACCCCUAUUGUUAGUUGCUACGCAAGAGCACUCUAGCGAGACUGCCGUUGACAAAACGGAGGAAGGUGGGGACGACGUCAAAUCAUCAUGCCCCUUAUGUCCUGGGCUACACACGUAAUACAAUGGCGGUCAACAGAGGGAUGCAAAACCGUGAGGUGGAGCGAACCCCUAAAAGCCGUCCCAGUUCAGAUUGUGGGCUGCAACCCGCCCACAUGAAGUCGGAAUCGCUAGUAAUCGCGGAUCAGCAUGCCGCGGUGAAUACGUUCCCGGGCCUUGCACUCACCGCCGGUCA